ensembl:lncRNA MIR4435-2HG MIR4435-2 host gene
AGUCGUGUGUACAUCAUUGGGAAUGGAGGGAAAUAAAUGACUGGAUGGUCGCUGCUUUUUAAGUUUCAAAUUGACAUUCCAGACAAGCGGUGCCUGAGCCCGUGCCUGUCUUCAGAUCUUCACAGCACAGUUCCUGGGAAGGUGGAGCCACCAGCCUCUCCCUGACAAGCAAAGUGGAUCAGCAAAGGCUGCAGUCACCAGCAUCUUUUCCAACCUUAAUGAACUGUAUCCUCAAAAGAACACUAUCAGACUGGCUCUGCCGACUUCCAGUUCUGGAACAAGAUGGUUAAACUCAUUUUUCCCUGCUCUGCUCCUCUAAAUACAACUAAGUACCUUGGAAACUAUUCAGCAGACAAUGAUAAAGGGCUCUGAAAGCUAGAAGAAAAGGUGUACUUGCAAGAAACCUCAGGACUUGAGUAACAGCAACAUGGCAGGCCAGAAAGCAGACCCAGGGAGGAUAGCACAUGUCUUCGGCUACACUGGUGAAGGCAUCGUGCCUGCUCCACAGCACAUUUUUAUUCAAGAACAAUCCAUUUCACAGAUGAAGAAACAGACUCAGUGAGCACGUGAUCACUUCUCACAACUAAUGGAGCCAAGAUUCUGUCCUUAUGGCUCCAGAGACCUCUUUUUUUUCCCACUGUACCACAACACUCACCAGGACUGGAGUGCCACCUAUGACCUCAUUGCAUAAUGGAUGGCUUGUCCUCAAAUGGGCCCGGCUGGAGGUACCAUGCACCUUUGAGGGACCAAGGACCCAAGACUUGAGGUAGACACUAUUCCCAGCUGGAUACUCUCAAUGUUGAGGAUAUAGAUGCACAAACCAAUGCAGGGAGGCCUCCAGGAGCCACUGGAGAAGAAAUCUUCAGAUCCUACCAGGCCCAUAGCUGUUGCCUUUGUGGGCUCCUGGGUUAAUUUCCACACAUCAGUGGCCCACCUUAUGAUAUCCUCCCUGCAUGCCACACUCCCGGCCAUGCUCUGUGGACAGCCAUUAUUUCCAGUAAUUGCUAAUGGGAGCCAGUCUCCAAAGAGUAAUGAAUCAGAGGUGUUCCUUGGAAUGUGUUACACUAGGACUUCGCCGAUCUCACAGGCUCCUUUCCAGAUGAGCUGACUGUAAUCUCUGGGAAGCUGGAUCUGGAGGAACAAUGGGAUGGGAUUUGCGGUGACCCUUCCUGCCCUUCUUGAGCAGCUUGUGAACCAGAAGAUGUGCCUGGAGAGAAAGCCUCAUUUGGGGAAGUGCAGUAGUCGAAGUUCUUUAUUUUGAAAAUGGAGAACAACCCUUCUCACAAUCCUGUCUCCCCUUCCCCCUUUCCAACUAGAAUAUCAGCUCCCCUGAACAUGAGUCAGUCACAUUUCAGGGAAAACUGGCUGAUGUUGAAGAAAUCACUUGAGGGCAAACUUUGUCCUUCAAGCUGUGGGUCUCUGAAGUGUAGAGCCAGCAGAUCCCCCAGUGUAGGGACUGGGCCUUCCUUGCCCAUUGAAUGCUUUCUAUACAUGAAGACUUGGAGCUCUUUACAGAUGACAGUAGCCAGUGAGGAAGAUAAAAGAAGAGAAAAGACCCAAAAUGCGGGUUUGCCACUCUUUUUUGCCAGCACCGUGGGGACAGUCACUCUGCCUUCUUUCCACCACCUCCAACUUCACACUCACACGCACACUCUGGUCCCACAGAGCCUGUUUGGUACUUGCCUGACAGCCCACCUUGAAACCAGAUGGUCAUGAACCUGUCACCAAGUCAUCUGAAGAUCUUCCACUGCAACCUGUAUGGCAUCUGCCACAGGGACCAUGGGACAUGAUUGAAGAACCACUCCAGUGCAGUUGAUGAAGGGGUGGGUCUGCACUGGAGUUAGGUGCACCAGGGCCUGGGCCAAGGGUGGGCUGGGUCCAUCUUGUGUGUGGUGGUCUUCUUCAGAGUAGCAGCUGAUUCAGAGGGAUUCCAUAGAACUGCACAGGCUAGGUCUAGUCAGAUAUCUUGGACAUUUUCUAUUUCUAGAUUAGAGAAUAUAGCAUACGCUGAUUUUAAUAUAACUGUGUAUGUGACUUUUUCAGUGAGAAAAAUUUUAAGUGAUGUUCUAAACAAUUUUUGGCAUGUAGACAGAAUAGUCAAAUAUCUGUUUAACUAGCAACAUAGUUACUCGUGCAUAUUUAAAAUACUACAUGAGUAUGGCCUGGCACAGUGGCUCAUGCCUGUAAUCCUAGCACUCUGGGAGGCCGAGGUGAGCAUAUUGCCUGAGUUCAGUUUGAGACCACUUUGGACAACAUGGUGAAACCCUGACUCUAUAAAAAUACAAAAAUGUAGCCAGGUGUGGUGGUGCGUGCCUGUAGUCCCGGCUACUUGGGAAGCUGAGGUGCAAGAAUUGCCUGAACCUGAGAGGCAGAGGUUGCAGUGACCUGAGAUUGUGUCACUGCACUCCAGCCUAGGUGACAGAGCAAGACUACAUCUCAAAAAAUAAAACAAAAUAAAAUAGGCCCUGUGCCGUGGCUCACGCCUGUAAUUCCAGCAUUUUGGGCAGCUGAGGCGGGCAGACCACCUGAGGUCAGGAGUUCAAGACCAGCCUGACCGACAUGGUGAAACCCCAUCUAUACUAAAUACAAAAAAUUAGCCAGGUAUGGUGAUGCAUGCCUGUAGUCCAAGCUACUUGGGAGGCUGAGGCAGGAGAGAAUGGCUUCAACCUGGGAGGCAGAGGUUGCAGUGAGCCGAGAUUGCGCCACUGCACUCCAGCCUGGGUGAUAGAGCAAGACUUCGUCUCAA